rnacentral:rRNA from 3 species
GGAUGCGAUCAUACCAGCACUAAAGCACCGGAUCCCAUCAGAACUCUGAAGUUAAGCCUGCUUGGGCGAGAGUAGUACUAGGAUGGGUGACCUCCUGGGAAGUCCUCGUGUUGCAUUCC